UCCAGAUUUACACGAUGCCGAUAAUGACGCCAUUCUGCCUGUAAGACAUUACGAGACAGUACGCAGGACAACAAACAAGCAGAUCUUGCAUCGCAGGCGGACGCUGUGAGGAGUUCAGCUCGGAGUCGAUCGAGGACAAAGAGGUGCAUCGUGCAGUACUGAUCGUCUUUAGUGAUGCUGGAAGCGAGACAGAGAGCUAGCUGAGGAUGAGGUGGACCUUUGGAAGUGCGCCGCCAUGGACCUGAUGUCUGAGGAGGAAGACGGCACAA
rnacentral:lncRNA from 1 species